rnacentral:sRNA from 1 species
ACAACAACAAUAACAAGCUCAAAACCAAGACAACAAAAACAACACGUAACGACUCCAGCACAACAAAAACAAAAUCGCGGAGGCGCAGCUAACUGAUUCUUUUGGAGGAGAGUAGCUGUCGGGAGAGAUCCCGCAACCGGUCGAAGAACAAUAAAACUGCCCCGAGGCAGCGACGAAACUGGUUGGAUCGCAAGAUCACUGCUCACUCAGCGACCAAAGCAAUCCGUUUGCUCUUGUGAGUCCUGAAUAGGAUACGCCCCAAGGCGAUUGACCUUGGGGGACGGGUCAACAAACAAAAACAACAAGCCCGAUACCAUAACAAGAACAAAGAAAGCACCUACUUUGGGGGGGAGCUCAGGCUCCCCCAGUAGCUUCUCCCUCUCCCCUGCUUCCUCGCUCUC